CACGCCUGGCCUGACUUUUAUAUUUUAAGCAAGUUUUCAGUUUUUUUCAAGAUAGCAGUCAUGGGAAUAUUCUGAAUUCUGGAAAGAGUUUAGAGAGGUUAUUGCCUUCUUAAUAAUUUAGAGCGUCUAUUGCUCUGCCAAGUCGGAAGAUUAACAUUUAAUAGAAAAAAAUUAUAUAUCUAUAAUUCAGUCACAGCUAUUAGAUCAGAUGGAUUUUACAUUAAGUGAAAAAGAUGUUGAGCAUUUAAGGACCAUUAAACUACAGGACUCUUUUAUUGGGUUUUAAGGCCCCCAAGCCAGGGUCCUGCUGCGAAGAGUAUUUAUUUUACAUAUACAGAACCCAUUAAGGAUGGGAAAGGGGCACACAUUUUAAAAGAAAAUAGGCCAUGAAAAAGUGUGAUUUUCUACAUUGUGAACAGCUACCAAACAGAUUCAGUCUUAUAAUAAUUAGUUUUAUGCAUCAUUAAGUAGCUUGCUUACCGGCUAGAAGAAUAUGGUGAAGCCCAUUUUAAAAGUGGUACCUGCAGGAAAUCCAAGUAGCUACAUGUCCUUUGUUGAUAUUUCACUUAGAGAAACUGCGUUUCUAGUAGUUUCCAGGAUUCUUAAGGUUGCGAUGUAUUGUCAGGAAUUUAAGUUUGGAAAUGCCUUCUUCAGUGGUCCUUAAGGACCAUGAAAACAAAGACCCAGAGAGGAGUUCUAGUAAGUGUUUACUUUUUCUAGCAAUGCUCAAAUUAUCAAUGAGAGAGUGGAAUUUGACCCUUGAGAAGAAUCACUUGCCUAUUGGAAGAAAGUCUGCACCAUUCUCUUUAUUAAGUGCUUAUCACAAUCCCAUUGUUGGAAUUAAUACCUUAAUAUAAGUUUUUCUUACUAUUUACACCAUGCCUCCUGCCCCAUUCCUACUUCCAAAAAUGGAAGAGUUUUAGAAGUUUAAAAGCAAAUAGACUCAGGGAGGAUGUGAGAAUGGAGUUAAUAUAAUUUGUAACUUUUUCCCCCCUACAAUGUCCAAACAAAUUUGGUGAUUUUCUUUCUUGCUAUUCUAGGCUUUUUUAAAUUGCCUCUGACUAAAGUGGCACCUUAUGGGCUGCUUCAGAAAUUUUCUUCAGGAUUUAAAAAUGAAGCCGAUUCAUAUUCAGAGUCUUCCUGCUGAAAAUCUGUUAAGCCAAAAUAAAAAUGACUGCUACUUAAAUUUUUUUCCCUCUUUGUUGUUGCUGCAAACAUUGUCUCACUUACAGGAGUUGCAGGAUCUCAUUUAUGCAGUUAAAACUCACUCUGCUUUGUACAAAUGGAGAGAGAUGAACCAUCCCAGGACUAGCAAUACAAGUCUUAAGGAUUAAAGUGCAUCUGCCUCAAUCAAAUACAUGCGAGCUGCACUCCUGAGUGUGGAGGGUUUUUUUUUUUUUUUAAGUGAAUUGUUCCAGUUGGCCUUAAUCCCUAAGCAAUAUAGCUCCUUUAAAACCAUCUUUAUUCAUUCACACCAAUUGACACUUAAAAUCCCCCAGCCACUGUUCAUCUAAGUCUAAAUAUAGCUGUUAGAGUCAAAUGUGUUUAAGAGGAUUUGCAAUCUGAUUAUCCAAAAUACUAUUUAUUGUCAAUGUUUUUGGUGUGCCAUGGCCAAUCUUAUUAUUAUAAUGUACAUAGCCAUUUAACGGCAGCAGAGCCUAAAAUAUAUCACAGCAAUUGGGAUAACCUGAAGGAAGGCUUUUCUCCAGCUCCGCGCUGUCAUUCUGGCACAGCUUGUUGUGUGGUUACGAACAUCAGAAAGAAUUCCUUAAUAAGCUCUUGCUCUCCUUCCAGACCCUUUUGGGCAAGCCCUCCAUGUUCUCUAAGUAGAGAGCAGUUACCAGGACAACAGAGAAUUUGAGGAAGAUUUAAUUGUGAUUUGAUGUCUAACCAGAAUAAAGAGCUAGUGCCUUGAAUUUAUAUUCUAGGUUUCCAAGCAAAUGUCAAUAUGCAUAUUUAUUAUUUUUGCCCUUCCUCAUUAUAAAAAGGAUUUUAAGAUGGCUCACAUUUUUUUUUUUUGUUAAUAUGGGAGAGGAGAAUGGGGAUGAUAAAUACUAAAAGGAUAGGAAAAACAAGCAACAACUUGUUGUGCAGGAAACAUGCCAGUUAACAAUAUAAUACCCUGCUUUUCUGGGGCUGACCUCAGUUUGACUCUGAACUUCCUAGUGGCCAAUGUAGUGAUGAAAACAUCACAUAUGUGAGACAUGGUGUCAGACACAGCACAGGUAUUCCUGGUUCUGAAACUGGCCUGGUGUUCCCCGUGGGUCCAGCACAUCAGUUGGUAUACAUCUCAAGCUGGAGUGCGCAGUGCCUCAGGGCACAUGCCCUGGGAUAAAAAUGGCACAUCUUCCUAAAGUGCUUCCAUCGGACUUAAUGGACUGCAGGUUCCCAUCUACACCCUUCACAUGAAUUCCGAAAGAAAGAAGAGGCAACAAUGCUCUGUCCACUGAAAAAGCCUUGGUGCAGUAACAGCCCAGGAGCAGAGAGACCACCUAGUACCCAGAUCUUGAUUUCUAAAUGCUGUUACCCACCAGAAGGAACUAAAAUUUUCUGCAGAAAUGGCUGACUCCAGAUCCAUGGAAAUGAAGCUCCAUGUUAAGCCUGGGAGGUCUUAUGGUCCCAAGAAGGAAAGAUAUGUUUAAAAACUACUGAGGUCACAAGGAAAGGAUGCGGAAGCUGACUUGAGGGAUCUGCCUGGCUAAGUUCGGGACUACUGAGCAUCAGAAAGAAUGAGUGUAAGGGGGCCAGGUGUGGUGGCUCAUGCCUGUAAUCCCAGCACUUUGGGAGGUCAAGGUGGGCGGAUCACGAGGUCAAG